CAGCGGUUUUCCUGGCAGCACAGAGUCUGUAGUCCAACAAUUGGAGGAGGUGAAACUGAGUGGCGCCAUCUGGGCCAACAGCUAUAGCAAUCGUACUUAAUCUCCAUCAGUGACAGAUGGCUAAGAUAACGCUGACCCAGAUGACGGCUCAGGCUGCACUGCCUCGGAAUUCAGGUUUGAGGAAACAGACAUGCAGAUUCAACGAUGGCUUUUCCAAACAUAACAGGAAGUGUCUGUACAAAAACCCAACAAGCAGAACCAUCCAGUGGAGAGAGCCUAGAUCUUGGGGUCAGAAAGGCCUGAAGUCAAAUUGCCACUUGACCAUUAGCUGCCAUUAUAAACUCUAAGCUGGACUGGACAACAUUGGAGAUUGUCAACUUCUGGAUGUUUGACAACUACCUGAGGAUAUCCUGAAACCGGAUAAUUCGAUGAGAAUACUCAAUGCAAAGUAAGACUCAAGGCAACCCGAAUUAUUCAAGUAGAGCAUCAUAAAGAACCCAAGGAAGAGUGAAAAUGGACAAAAGCUCAUAAAUAAGAAAACAAGCAAAAACUUCAAAAUAGUAUGACAUUCAGGCAGCUAGGAUAGAUGUGGAGCAUGGAAAGAUCACAGCCUGCUUGGCAGACAAGGAGCAGUGGCCUCUCUAAGAUGACAUGUCAUCUACGAGAAGGAAGUGAUCCUGAAAAUAAAAGAAUCAGCAGCAAGUCCAAAGAAUGUGAAAGAACUGAGGCUUAUAGAGGGGCAGAAAGGCAAUGUGGGCCCACGAUGGAUGAGGGGCACCUCGUGGGUGAGACAGACGGAGAAGAGGCUGCAGACGGCCCAGUGCUCCUGGAAAGAAGUAUUCUAGCAACACUGCAAGUUCCUGGAGAGCUUUAAUCUAGAGAGUAUCAUAACCACACUGGAGAGCAAGACUGAAUCUUCCUGAAUAACUGGCUUAAAAACUAUUUAAUGGCUAUGGUUGUGUAUAAACAUAAAACGUAACACUGACAAAGGAACUCUACUAAAAUUAAUCUUAUUUAAAUAAGGGGAAGACAGAAUAGGGGUUGGGUUUUUUGAAGGAUAUGAGAAAAGGUCUUUUAAUAAUAAACAAGGAUCCUAUUCCCUUUGGCUGUAUACAUUGCUCAGCCUAGAUGUAGUAGGGAGGGCCUUGGAUCUUCCACAAAGCAAAGUGCCUUACCCUCUCUGAGGA